rnacentral:rRNA from 1 species
GUGGGGAAUAUUGGACAAUGGGCGAAAGCCUGAUCCAGCCAUGCCGCGUGUGUGAAGAAGGUCUUCGGAUUGUAAAGCACUUUAAGUUGGGAGGAAGGGCAGUAAGUUAAUACCUUGCUGUUUUGACGUUACCGACAGAAUAAGCACCGGCUAACUUCGUGCCAGCAGCCGCGGUAAUACGAAGGGUGCAAGCGUUAAUCGGAAUUACUGGGCGUAAAGCGCGCGUAGGUGGUUUUGUAAGUUGGAGGUGAAAUCCCCGGGCUCAACCUGGGAACUGCGUCCAAAACUGCAUGACUAGAGUACGGUAGAGGGUAGUGGAAUUUCCUGUGUAGCGGUGAAAUGCGUAGAUAUAGGAAGGAACACCAGUGGCGAAGGCGACUACCUGGACUGAUACUGACACUGAGGUGCGAAAGCGUGGGGAGCAAACAGGAUUAGAUACCCGUGUAGUCC